rnacentral:rRNA from 1 species
CAGCGGGGUUGAAGCUUGCUUCACCGCCGGCGACCGGCGCACGGGUGAGUAACACGUAUCCCCCUGGAGGAUAACUCCGGGAUAGCCUUUCGAAAGAAAGAUUCAUUCCGGAUGGCAUAGUUCUCCCGCAUGAGAGAACUAUUAAAGAACUUCGGUUAUCGAUGGGGAUGCGUUCCAUUAGGCAGUUGGCGGGGUAACGGCCCACCAAACCGACGAUGGAUAGGGGUUCUGAGAGGAAGGUCCCCCACAUUGGAACUGAGACACGGUCCAAACUCCUACGGGAGGCAGCAGUGAGGAAUAUUGGUCAAUGGACGGGAGUCUGAACCAGCCAAGUAGCGUGAAGGAUGACUGCCCUAUGGGUUGUAAACUUCUUUUAUACGGGAAUAAAGUUGGCCACGUGUGGUUAUUUGCAUGUACCGUAUGAAUAAGGAUCGGCUAACUCCGUGCCAGCAGCCGCGGUAAUACGGAGGAUCCGAGCGUUAUCCGGAUUUAUUGGGUUUAAAGGGAGCGUAGGCGGGAUAUUAAGUCAGUUGUGAAAGUUUGCGGCUCAACCGUAAAAUUGCAGUUGAUACUGGUAUCCUUGAGUGCAGCAUAGGCGGGCGGAAUUCGUGGUGUAGCGGUGAAAUGCUUAGAUAUCACGAAGAACUCCGAUUG